CGUCUCUGCCUCGGUCUUCUCUUCCUCUCCAAAUAUAAACACCCACACACACCUCGUCUGCCUGUCUCUCACUGCUGUCUUCCGUCGCUCCAUAUUGACAUGCGGAGACAUGAGUGGUCGACGCGUGGCAGACACGGCGGUGACGAACUCGGGCGAGCUCGUCGAGUCCCUCCUACAUGUCUUCCACCCGCUGCUUCUGUGCGUGGCAGAUGCUCUCACAAAUGCCACAGCCGUGACGCCACCGCAAGUGGUGGCAAGGGUCGGUGUGGCUGAUGGUGGUCCGCAAGGCAUCAUCUCGUUGUGGCCGGAGGGGGAGACAGACGCUAAAACGGCAGCGGCGCCCACCCCAAACACUCAAGACGCUACCGGCGCUCAGCUCAGGACGGCAACCGCGUCUUCCAUGGUGUCGGAGGGUGCCGCCGGAGCCUUCUCCCCGGUUGCACCCGCCCCUGCGAGGGACUCAUCACCGUCGCCGGCUGACACGACUGCCGUCUUCUGUGCGGCAGAAGAGGACGAGGCCGGAGGCCGCGAUGACGAAGGAGGCAACAACAGAAAAGCAGCGCAACAACGGCUACCCACGGCGCUGGUGCAAGACGAGCUCAGCGCCACACAAGGCGCAUCCGAUGCUGAGCACCGCGAUGGCGGAAACGGCGUCGACAGCGACGCGGCCAAGGCGGUAACGGCGGCGCUACGCUGUCCUGCCCAGAAAGAAAGCGUCGUUGCUUGCCCCUCAUCGUCUACGUCGUCCCUGCCCCACUCCACUUCACCGCCCUCGACUUACGUGUCUGCCAACUCCGAUGAGGCAUCUGCGACGACGCCGCGCAAGCGCGGCCGACCACCGCUGUCGCGCACGGUGACCGCCCGCUUGAGUAAAAAAGAAGACGCCGCGAAGACACCCGAAGAACCUCUUCCCCGCGUUGCCACACCGCCGCCCCACGCCGCGCGCCCGUUCUGCUUUACAAUGUCGAAUGCGGUGCUGUGGGAGGCGGUGGCGGCGUUGGCCGAGGCGGUGCUGAUCGGCGGGGCGUGCUUCAGCUGGCUGCAGGGUGAAGUGCAGAGACGUGCAGAUGCCGAGCAGCAGCACGGUGAAGGGCAGCGGGGUUCGAAGACGGCGUCGUCGUUGUCGUUGCCGUCGCCGGCGCGCGUGCUCGCUGACGCUCUUCUGGGCUUUGGCCGCCCCUCCGUCACAGCUGCGCACAUGCGAUGGCGCGAGCGCGCCGUAGCGAGUAAGGAUGGCGCCAGCCCCACAGGCAACGGCUCCCACGAGCCCAGCGCGCAAAGAAGCGGUGAAUCUGGUGUCUUCGCUUCUUUGCCGGCCGGAGUGCAAGACGCCGUCUUCACCGCUGUCUCGGCGGCUCUCAUGCGCGCCGCCGCCGUGCACACGGCGCAGCUGCUCAGCCCCUUGUGCGCGGCUACCCCCGGUGACUCGAGACUUACCCAGAAAGGAGGAGAAACAGUGGGACAGCAACAGGAUGUGCCGGCUCCGGCACAGCAUCACGGCAACUCUCCAUCCUUUGCGGCGCCACCGCGAGCCGCAGCAUGCGCCGCGCCCGUUGAUCACUCUUCUGCAGCUUCACCGCACCUGCAGACCAACUUUGGCUGCCGCGCGGUGCCUGCUCCUUCCUUUCAUUGGCAGCAGUGGGCUGAAAGAGGGUUGGCGGCGGAGGCGCAGGGGCUCACCAAUGCGGCCGGUGCACCGCUAACGUUUAGGAUGGUGCAAGAGACGGUCAAGCAUCAGAAUCGGCGCACACUGCAGGCUCAGCAGUUGCAGCAGCCACGGCCAGCAGCGAUGUCGGCGACUCUGUCUCGCUCGCCAGCUUCCUUGUUUCCUGCCAGUGCUGCUGCCGUCGUCCCAGGCUCGAGCGGUACGCGUGGGGACGCAUUCGUGGCGACAGCAACAACAGGUGCGCCGUCCGCCACCGCUGCGGCUGGGCAGCCGCCGUCGCGCACGGCAGAAUCACCACUUUCGGUACUCAUGCGGCAGGCGGAGGCGCAGGACCACAGCUGCUUCUACGUGCAGGUAAGUACCGGUGACCGUGAUGGUGCCACGCGCACCGAGGCCACAGCGGCACCGACCGGCAACACUGCCGUGCGCGCCAGCGAGUUUACCGUGCAGGUCUUGUGCUCCGCGCUGGCGUCUGUCAUGACAGAUGAGGCCGCAGCUGCGACGCUGCAGGAUAGCGCAACCACCGAGGCGACUCACUUCGUGGACGAUGCCGCUGCUGACAGUGGUGAUGUCACCGUUUGCGCAUGCGAGGCGAAGCAUGCGCAGAACGGCGAGGGCCGCAACCUACAUCGGCUUGCUGGAGACGCGGGCUGCGGCCUUGUGCGACAGUGGUGCGCUGGGCUGGAGCAGCUGGCCUGCAUCACCUCCUCGGUGCCGACCUGGUGCAGCGCGUCGCGGCGCCGGAGGCACUCGAGCUGUGCAGUGUCCGCUGCGGCUCUCUUCGCGUAUUUGCGCGACUCCUCGGUGAACCCCCCGCUGGAGCUGCUGGCCGACUACGCGCUGGAGACGGGAAAAGCGACGUCGGCGCCGCCAAGGGCCCCUCAUCCUGCUGCGCGAGACAUCCAUGGCGGCCACGCGGCUACCGCUGGCGCAGCAGCGGCGACAGUUGGCACGGCCGUUCGCCAAUCGCCGUGGACGACGGCGCGAUGGAGUGUGCGGCCUGUGCUUGGCAUGGAAGAGGUAGACUACGCGGCUGACCAGUUUGCAAGGUCGGGGGAGCACCACCGAGCUCAUGCCCAGGGUGUGACCGCCUUGUCAUCGCUUCCGACAGACAGCGCCGCUGAUGCAUAUCCACCGAACAGGUCAGCGUCAUCUGCUCUGACAGACGCAGGCUCGCCUCAGGGGGGGCCAUCAAAGCAACCGAAGACCCAUGCAGGCCAGGUGGCAUCCGCAUCGCCUCGCUGGCCGCCGGCUGUGGCGUGGCUCCGGCUCUCGGACGAACACGGCCAUCCUUCGCAAUCAGACCAGGCAGAGGACACACACAGCGCGCCGCCGUCUCUGCAGCAGUCGACGACGCGGGUGGUGGAGAGAUCCACCGCGGCACUCUUCCAGCGUGUCCUCGCGCCAAUGAUUGCAGGCGAGCAAGGGGAUGCCCGUAUAUCUGCUGACGUCGUGAACCCGCUGGAGGAGGUUGGGACGGUGCUUGCUACACUUGACGCCGCCUGCGCUGGCCGCACGCUCGUGGAUACGACGGCGUGGCGUUACGGACGGAACCGCAUGAACGUUGCGGCGGUUUCCAUCAUUGGCCUGACGGUGCCAGACAACGACAAGGGGGGCAGCGCUGGACAAGGAAAUGAUGAUGUCGGGAAGGACGGAGCAAGCCUCGAUAGCACGCACAAUUCGCCUCGGGGGCCCUCUGCUGAGAGAGCGGCUCUGCAGUCUACGGAGGAGGGAGCCUCCACCGCACCAGUGUCGGCGUGCCGCGCUCGGGUGCCCUUGGGUCUGUACCACCACGAAUGCGGAGUACUCCAUGUAGUGGAUGGUGCAACGUAUGCGCUGGAGGUCGACUAGCAUCCUCAUUCCACUCCAUCUCACGUGAGUCUUUGCCCCGCCGCGGUGCGCCCCACCGCCCCUGGCACAAACCCGCACCUACACAUACACACCAUACACAGGAUACGUGUUUCCAACCCUUGCCGCUGCCAGAGAUGCGCGUCGACGUGCAGCAGUCGCGACCUUGCCCCAAAGCAAAAAGGGGGAAGACAGAGAGAGAGAGUCAGUGCGUGGCUUUCGACCUUGCACAAGCUCCUUUCCGAUUGUUUCCCUCCUCUGCACAAGCCGUCCGUCACGCCUUAAGCGCAUCUUCUUGCGCGCCGUUACGUUACCAGCGUCUCUUCCAACGGCCGCUCUGCAGGUUGAGGCAGGCACGUGCUCCCCGAACGUACAGCGCGACAGACAUACACGAACCAGGCACACACACACACACACACACGCUUUCAUCGUGCACGACUGCUGUCUUGAUGAUGACCGCCGCCAGACACACGUAUAGGCACGCCGUGGCGCAAAGCCUCCCUUUUACGUGCGCGCCAUGCCCCCCCCCCCUCCCAACACCACCCGCUCUGCCGCUGCCCUCCUGCGCCUCUUCAUGGUGUACCUCAACACUCUGCGGCGCCUCUGUGAUCGACAUCCGGCUUGCCCCUUUCCUGCCUCCCCCUCCUCGCUCCGUCCAUCGCGCGCUCUCACACGCAUGCACGCCUACUCUUCCCUCUUCGUCGCCUGCGCAUCUGCAG
rnacentral:misc_RNA from 1 species